rnacentral:snoRNA from 1 species
CUGAGCUGGUGACGAUAAAAGUUAUCCCUGUCUGAAGUUAAUCUUCCCCGUGUGGAAACACGAGUCUGAGGCUCAG